rnacentral:rRNA from 1 species
AGGAGAGUGGAAUUCCACGUGUAGCGGUGAAAUGUAUAGAGAUGUGGAGGAACACCAGUGGCGAAGGCGACUCUCUGGUCUGUAACUGACGCUGAGGCGCGAAAGCGUGGGGAGCGAACAGGAUUAGAUACCCUGGUAGUCCACGCCGUAAACGAUGAGUGCUAAGUGUUAGAGGGUUUCCGCCCUUUAGUGCUGCAGCAAACGCAUUAAGCACUCCGCCUGGGGAGUACGGUCGCAAGACUGAAACUCAAAGGAAUUGACGGGGGCCCGCACAAGCGGUGGAGCAUGUGGUUUAAUUCGAAGCAACGCGAAGAACCUUACCAGGUCUUGACAUCCUCUGACAACCCUAGAGAUAGGGCUUCCCCUUCGGGGGCAGAGUGACAGGUGGUGCAUGGUUGUCGUCAGCUCGUGUCGUGAGAUGUUGGGUUAAGUCCCGCAACGAGCGCAACCCUUGAUCUUAGUUGCCAGCAUUCAGUUGGGCACUCUAAGGUGACUGCCGGUGACAAACCGGAGGAAGGUGGGGAUGACGUCAAAUCAUCAUGCCCCUUAUGACCUGGGCUACACACGUGCUACAAUGGGCAGAACAAAGGGCAGCGAAGCCGCGAGGCUAAGCCAAUCCCACAAAUCUGUUCUCAGUUCGGAUCGCAGUCUGCAACUCGACUGCGUGAAGCUGGAAUCGCUAGUAAUCGCGGAUCAGCAUGCGCGGGUGA